ensembl:lncRNA
GAAUUUCCGGAACAUAGCCCAGUGCCCAGGCCUCUGUGUGAGCAGGGGAGGGGCCCGGCCGGGCAAGGAGACCCUGAAGCCCACCCCAUUACCACGGUCACUGUUUGCCCCGGAUUCUCUGAAAGGCCUAUUGUUGCCCGUUGCCAGGGUCCUGAAGUAAGGAAAAACCCAUUCCAGAAGUGGAAGCCCAGGGGUCUGGAAAGCUGUGUUGCUCACUGCUACCACGGUGAGAGAAGCAACCUAGAAAUGGGAAACAAGAUAGAAAAACAGAAACCAAAAUCCUGAAAUCUCCACUGACAUGGACACUGAGAUCUUGUCCUCUGGAUGACAUAGCCAUCACCCUCAGGCUAACCUGCCAUCUGUGAUGAGAAGACUCCCUGAUGAAGUUCUUCCCAACCAGCUUUCACCUAUGCCUCCCAAAAGGAGAGAUCUCCACUUCUCUCAGAAACGCUAUCUUUUGCAGAAUCAAGUGGCUUUUAAAGUGCGUCUUUCUCUCACCCCUGGUUUGAGUGUGAAUAUGAUUGCCACCAUCUUGGAUCCGAUGGAAGACACAGCACCUUGAGGAAAGUUGAACAAGAGAGAUUGCUGCUACUGUGGAUCUUCAAUGCCAGCUCCUUACUUCUUAUAUUUGGACAGGGACGUGAUUAAAU